rnacentral:lncRNA from 1 species
GGUUCCUGGGCUUGCCCCGGCCCACUGGCAGGCUCUCCGCUAUGUACUGGUGAUCCGUCUCCAAGUUCAGCUUCCUCUUCACCUGCAAGCGAUGGGGCUCAUUGGGGGGGGGCAGCCACCCCCCCCAGGGACCCCUCCCCGGGGGUGCCGAGCCCCGCUGCCGGUAGGAGCGGGGUCACGGGAGCGGCUCCACCGCUGACACACACACACCGGGGCCGGGGUCCCGCCACGCUGCAGGGAGCGCCCCAAGGCAGGCAGGAACAGAGCCCGGACCAGCGGGGCGGCUUCCGGAGAGGCCGCGCUCGGCAGGUGCGCUGCGUGGCACAGCACAGGGCAUGGCACGGCACGCUGUGGCACGGUAGAGGGCACGGCACAACAAGGUGCGGAGCAGGGAGCAGCACUGCCCGGCGUGGCACGGCAGAGCCCGACCCAGUACGCAGCCCAACCCAACGCGGCCCAAUAUCUCACGGCUCGGGGCAUAGCACGGCCCAGUACCCAGCACAGCCCCGCCGUAGCCCGCAGAGUCCCGGUCUCCGCAGCCCCCUCCCCACCCCGAUCCCAGUCCAGGUGGUUACCGGCGGGCGGCCCAGCGCGGGCCGGCGCGGCGCAGCUCCGGGCCGGGCGGGUUGCGGUGUGGCGAAGAGCAAGACCUGGUCGGUAUCGGGGUGUCCUCCGCCGCCUCCGCCCGCGGGCUCGUCAGCGGCGGCGGAGACGAUGAGGAGGUGCGGGGAGGAGCUGCCCAGCAGCGCCGCCAGCCCCGCCGCGCCGCCGCCCGCCGCCGCCAUGGCUCACAUGGCCACCGGGGCGACGGGCGGCGGGGCGGGGAAGGCGCUUGGAGGGUCACGGCCCAUGACGGGGCAGCGAGAACCGCUCCCACCGCCCGUAUUGUUCGGUACGACCGGCUCCGGCGCGCCUUCUUUGCGCGCCAAAUCCUUUUUGCCGCGAAAGCGGCGCGAGCCUCCCCGCCACCCGCCUCAUUGGCUGCCACAGACACCGGGAACCGCAGUAGGAGGAGCGGAGGAGCCGUCUCAUUGGUCAAUGACGGGCGGUGCCGCACUCUUAUUGGUUGAGGGUGGACAGGAGGCCAAUCAGCGGCGCCGCGGGGGUGGGGAGCGGGGACAGUGGGGCGGUGAAAGGGAAGAAACGGCGGCAUCUGCCGUCGUUUCGCCCCUUUCACCGCCCCACUGUCCGUCCUCCCCCCUCCCCCCAGGGAAUUCCAGCUCCAAAGCAUCCUUAUCCCAGCAUCCAGGUCCUGCCCCGUGUUUUGCAUCGGAUGAGGAGGAGGAAGGCACUGGCACACACCCAUGA